UACGAAGGGGGCUAGCGUUGUUCGGAAUUACUGGGCGUAAAGCGCACGUAGGCGGACAUCUAAGUCAGGGGUGAAAUCCCGGGGCUCAACCCCGGAACUGCCUUUGAUACUGGGUGUCUUGAGUCCGGAAGAGGUGAGUGGAAUUGCGAGUGUAGAGGUGAAAUUCGUAGAUAUUCGCAGGAACACCAGUGGCGAAGGCGGCUCACUGGUCCGGUACUGACGCUGAGGUGCGAAAGCGUGGGGAGCGAACCGGG
rnacentral:rRNA from 1 species